UACGGAGGGCGCUAGCGUUGAUCGGAAUUACUGGGCGUAAAGCGCACGUAGGCGCCUUGCAAAGUCAGGGGUGAAAUCCCGGGGCUUAACUCCGGAAUUGCCUUUGAAACUAGUAAGCUAGAGACCGGUAGGGGGUGGUGGAAUUCCUAGUGUAGCGGUGAAAUGCGUAGAUAUUAGGAGGAACACCAGAGGCGAAGGCGGCCACCUGGACCGGAACUGACGCUAAAGUGCGAAAGCGUGGGGAGCAAACAGG
rnacentral:rRNA from 1 species